rnacentral:rRNA from 1 species
AGGGCGCAGGGUGGAUGCCAUGGCACUGGACGCCGAAGAAAGACGUGGUAAGCUGCGAAAAGCCACGGGGAGCCGCAAGCAGGCUUUGAUCCGUGGAUGUCUGAAUGGGGAAACCCGGCGGAAGUAAUGUUCCGUCAUCCGUGAAUGAAUUCAUAGUUCACGAGAAGGGCACCCGGGGAACUGAAACAUCUAAGUACCCGGAGGAAAAGAAAGAAACAUCGAUUUCGUGAGUAGCGGCGAGCGAAAGCGAAGGAGCCCAAACCAUCCGACUACGGUUGGAUGGGGUUGUGGGUCAGCAGAACGUACGAGGAAACCUAGGAGAAGAGUUCUGGAAAGGACUUCCAAAGAGGGUAAGAGGCCCGUAUCCGAAAGGUUGAAUUGGCAAGCUGAUACCAGAGUACCACAGGACACGAGGAAUCCGGUGGGAAGCAGGAGGGACCACCCUCCAAGGCUAAAUACGAUCCAGUGACCGAUAGCGCAUAGUACCGUGAGGGAAAGGUGAAAAGAACCCCGGGAGGGGAGUGAAAUAGAACCUGAAACCCUGCACUUACAAGCUGUGGGAGCACAUUACUUGUGUGACCGCGUACUUUUUGUAGAACGGGCCAACGAGUUACGUUAAGUAGCAAGGUUAAGCACUUAAGGUGUGGAGCCGUAGCGAAAGCGAGUCUUAAAUGGGCGAUUAAGUUACUUGGCGUAGACCCGAAACCGGGCGACCUAUCCAUGAGCAGGUUGAAGCGAAAGUAAAAUUUCGUGGAGGACCGAACCCACGAGCGUUGAAAAGCUCGGGGAUGACUUGUGGAUAGCGGUGAAAUUCCAAUCGAGCCCGGAGAUAGCUGGUUCUCCCCGAAAUAGCUUUAGGGCUAGCCUCAAGCGUAGAGAAACGGAGGUAGAGCACUGAAUGUCCUAGGGGGUAUUGCACUUACCGAAGACUAUCAAACUCCGAAUGCCGUUUUCUUUUACUUGGGAGUCAGACUGUGGGUGAUAAGAUUCAUAGUCAAAAGGGCAACAGCCCAGAUCGUCAGCUAAGGUCCCUAAAUGUACGUUAAGUGGUAAAGGAUGUGGGAUUGCACAGACAACCAGGAUGUUGGCUUAGAAGCAGCCACUCAUUUAAAGAGUGCGUAAUAGCUCACUGGUCGAGUGAUCCUGCGCCGAAAAUUUCCGGGGCUAAAACGUACUACCGAAGCUACGGCAUCAUUUAUGAUGGGUAGGGGAGCUUCGUAUGCAGGCUGAAGCAUGACCGUAAGGACAUGUGGACAGUAUACGAGUGAGAAUGUUGGCAUGAGUAGCGAGACGUGGGUGAGAAUCCCACGGGCCGUAAACCCAAGGUUUCCAGGGGAAGGUUCGUCCGCCCUGGGUUAGUCGGGACCUAAGCCGAGGCCGAAAGGCGUAGGUGAUGGACAACAGGUUGAUAUUCCUGUACCGCCAAUAAGCGUUUGAGAGAUGGAGUGACACAGUAGGAUAAGCUAACCGUACUGUUGGUUAUGUACGGCUAAGCAUUGAGGCAGUCUAAAUAGGCAAAUCCGUUUAGACAAUGCUAGGAUGUGAUGGGGAAGCCCUUCGGGGCGAAGUAGCUGAUUUCACACUGUCAAGAAAAGCUUCUAUCGAGUUUAAAGGCGCCCGUACCGUAAACCGACACAGGUGGGUGAGGAGAGUAUCCUAAGGCCAGCGAGAGAACUAUUGUUAAGGAACUCGGCAAAAUGACCCCGUAACUUAGGGAGAAGGGGUGCCUGUCUAUGACAGGCCGCAGAGAAUAGGCCCAAGCGACUGUUUACCAAAAACACAGGUUUCUGCUAAGUCGCAAGACGAUGUAUAGGAGCUGACGCCUGCCCGGUGCUGGAAGGUUAAGGGGAUCUGUUAGAGCAAUCGAAGCAGUGAACUUAAGCCCCAGUAAACGGCGGCCGUAACUAUAACGGUCCUAAGGUAGCGAAAUUCCUUGUCGGGUAAGUUCCGACCCGCACGAAAGGCGUAACGAUCUGGGCACUGUCUCAACAAUAGACUCGGUGAAAUUGUAGUACCGGUAAAGAUGCCGGUUACCCGCAGCAGGACGGAAAGACCCCGUGGAGCUUUACUGCAGCUUGAUAUUGGAUUUCGGCAUUGCAUGUACAGGAUAGGUGGGAGACUUUGAACUCAGUACGCCAGUAUUGAGGGAGUCACCGUUGGGAUACCACCCUUGUAAUGUUGAGGUUCUAACUUUGUACCGUGACCCGGUAUGAGGACAGUGUCUGGCGGGCAGUUUGACUGGGGCGGUCGCCUCCUAAAGAGUAACGGAGGCGCCCAAAGGUUCCCUCAGUGCGGACGGAAAUCGCACGAAGAGUGUAAAGGCAGAAGGGAGCUUGACUGCGAGACAAACAGGUCGAGCAGGGACGAAAGUCGGGCUUAGUGAUCCGGUGGUACCGAGUGGAAGGGCCAUCGCUCAACGGAUAAAAGCUACCCCGGGGAUAACAGGCUGAUACCCCCCAAGAGUCCACAUCGACGGGGGUGUUUGGCACCUCGAUGUCGGCUCGUCGCAUCCUGGGGCUGUAGUAGGUCCCAAGGGUUGGGCUGUUCGCCCAUUAAAGAGGUACGCGAGCUGGGUUCAGAACGUCGUGAGACAGUUCGGUCCCUAUCCGCUGUGGGCGUUGGAAAUUUGAGUGGAGCUGUCCCUAGUACGAGAGGACCGGGAUGGACGUACCUCUGGUGCACCAGUUGUUCUGCCAAGAGCAUAGCUGGGUAGCUACCUACGGACGGGAUAAGCGCUGAAAGCAUCUAAGUGCGAAGCCCCCCACAAGAAGAGAUCUCCGCCUUUA